GAUUGAACUCAGUGUCUUGAAUGUGUGAGAUGAGCGCUCUACUGCUGAGCUGUAGACCCAGCCCCAAGGAGCUGGGGUUUUAAUUCAGGAUUUUUCCUGCCAACACAACCUUGAGAGGUGGUCUGGGUAAAGCACAUUGGCCUGUCACUCCUGGAUCACACAAGACACCAUAGGAAGGCUUGGGCUGUCCACAGCUCAUGAUUGUGACAGUGACUGAAACUGACUUCACAAGAACCUGCUGCUCCACCAACCACUCUGGUGAAUCUGUCAGGUUGGGCAUGUUUUGAAUUUGUCUCAGAGCAACUGAGACCACAACGCACAGGCUUCCCCAAAGUACAUGAGACCCACUGCAGUACUGGCAUACGUUCUGGCCCAUGGCAUUAGUCUCAACUGUAAGCAUGUUCUGGAGGCAUGUGGGCUCUUAACCCACUUAGGCCAGGGUUAGUGACCUCUUCCUUGACAGCAGUGUGCUUCAGAGCUUUGCCCAGGGACUGUCCUUGUCCCUGAGGGAUGUAACCCAGAUAGAUUGCCUAUCAGUGGAGCAUGUGUAAUCUUGACUGCAUCUGCCCAGGGCAGCUAUUGGGCUCCAGCUUAGUGUCGCUAGCUGCCUGUCUAGAUGGUGACUCUGCCUCACAGAACAUGUUGAUAUGACUGUGUUUCGUCUCAGGACUCAGAAGAAUUGGCAAUGAGGGCUCAGUGAGCUUGCUUUGUGCAGCUUUCUACCUCCCAGGGCCUAGGGCUACUCUGACAUGGAGCACACAGGGAGACUGCUUCCAGUCCCAUGAGAAGGUGGGCCUUACUGCCUGCCACCCUGCUGAAGGCUCGAUGAGCAUCAGUUAAGCAACUCGGACGGUUUGUUGUCUUUAUUGAUUUUGUUUUGUCUCUUCUGCGGUUUUCCACCUUCCUGGCUGCUUGGCCUUUCUGUUCCCUACUCUCCUAGCCUUUUCUGCAAGGGUCUUAGUCGAGGCCAGUUCUGCACAGACCUCUCUUUCCUCUGUUGCAGUGGUCUCUGAGUAAACCUGUUUCUAC
rnacentral:lncRNA from 1 species